GGGUAGCUACGUGUGGUCGGGAUAAGUGCUGAAAGCAUCUAAGCAUGAAGCCCCCCUUGAGAUGAGAUUUCCCUUUGCUUUAAGCAAAUAAGAUCCCUCAGAGACGAUGAGGUUGAUAGGUCCGAGGUGGAAGCGUGGUGACACGUGGAGCUGACGGAUACUAAUGGAUCGAUGACUUAUCUAU
rnacentral:ncRNA from 1 species